rnacentral:rRNA from 1 species
CCUACGGGAGGCAGCAGUGGGGAAUAUUGCACAAUGGGGGAAACCCUGAUGCAGCGACGCCGCGUGAGUGAAGAAGUAUUUCGGUACGUAAAGCUCUAUCAGCAGGGAAGAAAAUGACGGUACCUGACUAAGAAGCCCCGGCUAACUACGUGCCAGCAGCCGCGGUCAUACGUAGGGGGCAAGCGUUAUCCGGAUUUACUGGGUGUAACGGGAGCGUAGACGGCAGCGCAAGUCUGAAGUGAAAUCCCAUGGCUUAACCAUGGAACUGCUUUGGAAACGGUGCAGCUGGAGUGCAGGAGAGGUAAGCGGAAUUCCUAGUGUAGCGGUGAAAUGCGUAGAUAUUAGGAGGAACACCAGUGGCGAAGGCGGCUUACUGGACUGUAACUGACGUUGAGGCUCGAAAGCGUGGGGAGCAAACAGGAUUAGAUACCCUUGUAGUC